rnacentral:rRNA from 1 species
AGACCCGAAACCCGGUGAUCUAGCCAUGGGCAGGUUGAAGGUUGGGUAACACUAACUGGAGGACCGAACCGACUAAUGUUGAAAAAUUAGCGGAUGACCUGUGGCUGGGGGUGAAAGGCCAAUCAAACCGGGAGAUAGCUGGUUCUCCCCGAAAGCUAUUUAGGUAGCGCCUCGUGAAUUCAUCUCCGGGGGUAGAGCACUGUUUCGGCUAGGGGGCCAUCCCGGCUUACCAACCCGAUGCAAACUGCGAAUACCGGAGAAUGUUAUCACGGGAGACACACGGCGGGUGCUAACGUCCGUCGUGAAGAGGGAAACAACCCAGACCGCCAGCUAAGGUCCCAAAGUCAUGGUUAAGUGGGAAACGAUGUGGGAAGGCCCAGACAGCCAGGAUGUUGGCUUAGAAGCAGCCAUCAUUUAAAGAAAGCGUAAUAGCUCACUGGUCGAGUCGGCCUGCGCGGAAGAUGUAACGGGGCUAAACCAUGCACCGAAGCUGCGGCAGCGAACGUAUCACUUAAAGCGAUUCAGCGGGUUACGAUUGACGGAGCGAAGCGACGUCAAAGCGUAUACAAAGUCGAGUCGGUUUAAGGAUACGUUCGUUGGGUAGGGGAGCGUUCUGUAAGCCUGUGAAGGUGGCCUGUGAGGGUUGCUGGAGGUAUCAGAAGUGCGAAUGCUGACAUAAGUAACGAUAAAGCGGGUGAAAAGCCCGCUCGCCGGAAGACCAAGGGUUCCUGUCCAACGUUAAUCGGGGCAGGGUGAGUCGACCCCUAAGGCGAGGCCGAAAGGCGUAGUCGAUGGGAAACAGGUUAAUAUUCCUGUACUUGGUGUUACUGCGAAGGGGGGACGGAGAAGGCUAUGUUGGCCGGGCGACGGUUGUCCCGGUUUAAGCGUGUAGGCUGGUUUUCCAGGCAAAUCCGGAAAAUCAAGGCUGAGGCGUGAUGACGAGGCACUACGGUGCUGAAGCAACAAAUGCCCUGCUUCCAGGAAAAGCCUCUAAGCAUCAGGUAACAUCAAAUCGUACCCCAAACCGACACAGGUGGUCAGGUAGAGAAUACCAAGGCGCUUGAGAGAACUCGGGUGAAGGAACUAGGCAAAAUGGUGCCGUAACUUCGGGAGAAGGCACGCUGACACGUAGG